AUCUUCCGCAAUGGACGAAAGUCUGACGGAGCAACGCCGCGUGAGUGAUGAAGGUUUUCGGAUCGUAAAGCUCUGUUGUUAGGGAAGAACAAGUACCGUUCGAAUAGGGCGGUACCUUGACGGUACCUAACCAGAAAGCCACGGCUAACUACGUG
rnacentral:rRNA from 1 species